GACGAACGCUGGCGGCGUGCCUAAUACAUGCAAGUCGAACGCUGAAGGAGGAGCUUGCUUCUCUGGAUGAGUUGCGAACGGGUGAGUAACGCGUAGGUAACCUGCCUGGUAGCGGGGGAUAACUAUUGGAAACGAUAGCUAAUACCGCAUAAGAGUAGAUGUCGCAUGACAUUUGCUUAAAAGGUGCAAUUGCAUCACUACCAGAUGGACCUGCGUUGUAUUAGCUAGUUGGUGAGGUAACGGCUCACCAAGGCAACGAUACAUAGCCGACCUGAGAGGGUGAUCGGCCACACUGGGACUGAGACACGGCCCAGACUCCUACGGGAGGCAGCAGUAGGGAAUCGUCGGCAAUGGACGGAAGUAUGACCGAGCAACGCCGAGUGAGUGAAGAAGGGUUUCGGAUCGUAAAGCUCUGUUGUAAGAGAAGAACGAGUGUGAGAGUGGAAAGUUCACACUGUGACGGUAUCUGAACAGAAAGGGACGGCUAACUACGUG
rnacentral:rRNA from 1 species